GAACGUUACCAAACUGUUGCCUCGGCGGGAUCUCUGCCCCGGGUGCGUCGCAGCCCCGGACCAAGGCGCCCGCCGGAGGACCAACCAAAACUCUUUUUGUAUACCCCCUCGCGGGUUUUUUAUAAUCUGAGCCUUCUCGGCGCCUCUCGUAGGCGUUUCGAAAAUGAAUCAAAACUUUCAACAACGGAUCUCUUGGUUCUGGCAUCGAUGAAGAACGCAGCGAAAUGCGAUAAGUAAUGUGAAUUGCAGAAUUCAGUGAAUCAUCGAAUCUUUGAACGCACAUUGCGCCCGCCAGUAUUCUGGCGGGCAUGCCUGUCCGAGCGUCAUUUCAACCCUCGAACCCCUCCGGGGGGUCGGCGUUGGGGAUCGGCCCUCCCUUAGCGGGUGGCCGUCUCCGAAAUACAGUGGCGGUCUCGCCGCAGCCUCUCCUGCGCAGUAGUUUGCACACUCGCAUCGGGAGCGCGGCGCGUCCACAGCCGUUAAACACCCAACUUCUGAAAUGUUGACCUCGGAUCAGGUAGGAAUACCCGCUGAACUUAA
rnacentral:rRNA from 2 species